ACCUACCCCCGGCCGAACAUUGUAAGGCUGGGGGAACAUCUGUUCUUAUCAGCUUAAUAUCUGAUACACUCCGCAUCGCGGAGUCAGAAUAUUAACCUGAUUUUUGGAGUCAGGCGGAUCGCUGGGGCUCGCUCCACUUCCGCCGCGAGUCGGUCCGGCACUGCAGUGCCGCCGGAAACGGCUCAAU